rnacentral:lncRNA from 1 species
UGUAGAUGACACUGAAAUUAACUCAAAAUGGAGAAAGUUUUAAUUUUGCGCUGUGGAAUGGAAGAUAAAGGUAAAAGAUUGAAAGGACAUUGGACAAUCUGGUUCACAGGAAAGACUCAUCCUGAUGAAGAAUUCAGACACAUUGACCAUUCAGAGCUUUAGAUCCAAGAGAAGAGGAAUUGCCUUGACUCUAUUAUGUUCCUGAGUUUGACCGGAAGAGGUUCCUUGGCCUGCAGAGUUCAAGGUCAUCCUUGAAUAAACUGGAGACACUCUCAAAAAUGCAAGCAAAAGAAAGAAAAGAAGAAAAGAAAAAUUACCCAAAGAUACAACUGGUUCGGGGCAUACAGAUUCUCAGGAGGAUGAAAUGACAGCCGACCUCUCACGGAGUGCUGAUGACUGAAAGGAAGUGAGUUAAGACUGCCCUCUGUUUGCCACGCCCACGCCACUGGGACCAGGAACUGUGCAAGUUCUGUGUAAGUUGUACAUCUGAAGGAGACAUUUCACUUCUGGGUGCCACCGUUGCAGGUUGACAGGUACACUGGAUAAUAAUGAGGUGGAGCACUCAGAACUGAGCCACACUGUGACACAGAAGUCGUUAAUGAAGUGAAGAUGUUUAGCCAGGACUGCUGCAGAGACUCCAGAAAUAAGAGUUAUCUUCAAAGACUUGACAGCGGUCACUAGAGAAUAAAAUUAAACUUUUUACAAGAUGACAGAACUAUCUUCUUAAAGAACACGGAAACAAACUGAGUUACAUUCAGGCCUCUUGACACUA